rnacentral:rRNA from 1 species
UGGGGGAAUAUUGGGGCAAUGGGCGCAAGCCUGACCCAGCAACGCCGCGUGAGGGAAGAAGGUUUUCGGAUUGUAAACCUCUGUCGCAGGGGACGAAGGAAGUGACGGUACCCUGUAAGAAAGCCCCGGCUAACUACGUGCCAGCAGCCGCGGUAAUACGUAGGGGGCGAGCGUUGUCCGGAAUUACUGGGUGUAAAGGGAGAGUAGGCGGGAUUGCAAGUCCGUUGUUAAAUCUAUCGGCUUAACCGGUAGCUGCGGCGGAAACUGUAGUUCUUGAGUGAAGUAGAGGCAGGCGGAAUUCCUAGUGUAGCGGUGAAAUGCGUAGAUAUUAGGAGGAACACCAGUGGCGAAGGCGGCCUGCUGGGCUUUAACUGACGCUGAGGCUCGAAAGUGUGGGGAGCAAACAGGAUUAGAUACCCUGGUAGU